ensembl:snRNA U6 U6 spliceosomal RNA
GUGCUCGCUUCAGCAGCACAUAUACUAAAAUUGGAACAAUACAGAGGACAUUAGCAUGGCCCCUGCACAAGGAUAACAUGCACAUUCAUGAAGUGUUCCAUAGUUUU